CUUCCAAUAUUUGUCUUGUUAACUUCGAGUUUGAAUAUCAAAUUGGGAGUAUCAACUACACCGGGGUUCAUGUAGUAAUGCCAGAGUUUGAUGAAGAUGAUGGCGUAUUUGUAACUUGUGCAUAAUAUAUCACAAUAUUAUGGUUUCCUUGACUCUCAUUGGUUUGAGUUUGACUGUUUUGAAUAGACCUGUAAAUGGACCAGAUCAAAAUCCGCUACGGGUAUGCUUGCACCUUAUAAUCCAAGUCUCCUUUAUCUGAGGGAAAACUAUGAUUUUAGUGAAACCAGUGCGCAAUUGGUGAUCUACCUUCAGGGUUGAAUUGCCUUCAAAGGGGCUUUCUUUGCCACCGUGGUCGUCCAGUUUAUUAUAACUUCAUGAUUAACUGCAGUGGUCCUCGGACAACGUUAUCCAAUGGAAUUGCGUAUGAGACGGACACUGAGCCCCUUGGUCCAGCUACAUAUUAUGUGACUGACACAAACAGAUGGGGAGUUAGCAAUGUCGGUCUUAACACACGGUUUGUGGGUAAUAGUUCUUCAUUUUGUUCUCCUCCAUAAGGAGUUUGAAAUAUCUAUACCAAGCAGGAAUUUACAUGAACUAAGCUGUCAUGAAGCUUUCAAUAAUAUUAGUUGCCUCAAGUCAGCUACGAUAGCAUAUUCUAAUUUAAACUCUAAAAAUUAAACAUUCUUAGUAAUCACACCAAGGUUCCUCAUCAAGUUUGUGCAUAGAUGUCUUGAACGCCAAAAAUUGUCUAGUCAAGAAUGGAACGUUCUAUUUUACACUACCUUUAAUUUGUCAAGAUAUUAUCCACCUGUUGAUUAUCUGGCAUCUUGUGUGAAAUGAAAAUCUGUCCUCACUCAAGCUUUUACUUUUAACUUAAUUCUUGUUAAUCAAUAAUGCCAACAGCUGCAUCAUAUUUGACUGGGACCAACAAUCCAAGGUAUACAAUAUCCACUUCAUCUCCAAUCGGAAGUACUUCAGACCCUACGCUAUUUCAGAGUGCAAGGAUCUCUGCUUCAUCACUCAGAUACUAUGGCUUGGGUCUUGAGAAUGGAAACUAUACCGUGACGCUUGAAUUUGCAGAACAAGCUAUCCUAGAUACUCCUACAAGAAAAAGUCUUGGAAGACGUGUGUUUGAUAUAUAUCCAGGACGUUCUUGUUGUUAAAGAUUUUGAUAUACGAAAGGAGACAAAUAGGACAUCUUUGCUAGCUAUUGAAAAGGUAUACGAGGCUCAGGUGGUUUCAGAGAAUUACCAUGAAAUACAUUUCUUCUGGGCUGGAAAGGGGACUUGCUGUAUACCAGAGGAGGGUACAUAUGGACCUCUUAUUUCAGCCAUCAGUGCUGCACCUGGUAAAGUAUAUGACAAUUAAAGUGAAAAUUACAGUCGGACCAAUGUAUUUGUUUCCAAUGCUAUCUUUCAGUGUGCUCCAUGCUGUUGACUAAAAAGCUUUAAUUUCUACGGAAUUCAAACCUACCGUUAAAAAGACCCACAUGAGUACUCGGGUUGUGGGAACAAUUGGGUAUCUUGCACCGGAAUAUGCUAUGCGCCUAUGCGUGGACACUUGACAGAGAAGACCGAUGUGUUUGCCUAUGCUGUUGUCAUUAUAGAAAUUGUCAGCGGUAGGCCAAAUUCUGAUCCAAGUUUGGAAGGCGAUAUGGUUUAUCUUCUUAAAUUGGCUUGGAACUUGCAUGAAAACAAACGUGAAGUUGAUCUAGUAGACUUUAGAUUAUCUGAAUUCAAUAAGGAAGAAGCAAGACGAAUUAUCAACAUAGGACUUUUGUGCACUCAGUCAUCACCAAUGCUACGACCACCUAUGUCUCGCGUGAUCGGAAUGCUUGCAGGAGAUAUUGAAGUGACUCCUGCUAUUUCAAAGCCUGGUUACUUGACAGACUGGAGAUUUGAUGAUGCAACUACCAUCACCAGCCAAACGAAAUUUGGUGAUGGGAGUACCGGCAACAGUCUAGGAACUGAUAUGUCAACUAGCUAGAGGAACUGACUUCAGCUUUUACAACUCGUCGGCAAGUACAAGCGUGAUGGAGGAUGCAGGGCAAUUACCUUCAAAUGCCACUCUUCCCAUACUCGAUAAUACGAAUGGUGGUGGUAGGUGAGUUUUGAAGGAAUAGAAUAAUCGGUACACUGGAGUGAUUGAUUAUACACUUCUUUUUCUCUUGAUACAUAUAGCUCUUGAUUCUUGAUCAUGUACAUACACAUUACGUUUUAUUCUUGAUGAUGUAUGUUUUUAAAGUAAUUGAAUUUUUGUAGUGAAAGAUAGAAGGCUUCCUUUAGUAUUGAGCACUUAAAAGG